CAGCCAAAUCCCAGCUUGAGUUAGGCUGCACAUGAGCACAGCCUCAAUGUGUAUUCCCCACCCUCCAAAGCUUCCCACACGGUGUGGUCUGGGGCUAUCGCAAAAAGAAUUUUCUCACCAGCAUCGAUGUCUGUUCCCUUGGCUGACAGUAGUACAAUGAUCUUGUUCUAGUGCUGUUCUCUAAAGGAUUGAAACCAGCAUAAGAAAGACAGCAGACAUUGGCUUUCUAUAUUAGAAGAGAGUGCAAUGAUUUGUGGUAGGAGCACUAUAGGCCAUGCUGGGGACUGCUAGAGAGCCUGAUCAGACAUUUAGGCCUUACUUGUUUGUGCCAGUAAGCAGAAGAAUGAACAUCCUCCUUAAAUACUGCAUCAGACACCUUCGACUUUUACCAGGCCAUAUUGUUUAAGAGACAUAUUAGGAUAUAUGGAUAAAGGAAUAAGCACUGAGUGGAACAUUGGGUGAAACUACAGAGCAAAUGAAGAUCACAACCAUCUAAAUGGACAAGGAAUCACUCUGCAACAAAAACCAUUGUGCCUUGAUGGAGAUAAAGUGAUGUGAAAGAUCCAUCCUCAGUAUUUGAUCUAUGAGGUGGAUGCCUGACUCGUGCCAACCUGCCCUCCCGCCACCUGUUGAGUCCCAGUGUUUGCUCAGACCAAGAGUGCCUCUGAGAGCAACACCUGGCAGACUGCAGCCAACGAUGCUGGAAGCCCCCAGCAGAAGACUCCAGAAGGCAUCAAUAAUAGCGUUAUGUACAACAAACGCAGGAAUGAUGGAUCACAUCUUUUAUCAAGUAUACUUUUUCUUAAUGGAGAGUCAAGAACCAACCACAAAUGCCAUGUUUUUAGCCUAUUUUCCCCAGGCCUCACCAGUCAGAGAAGAUCCUAGCCAACCACAACCUGCAGAGGAAGUAUGUGCAAGACCUAACAUGCCAGUGGACCAGCCAGAUCCAGCCCCACCCAGGCCACUGAGCAACAUGGAGCACGUGGCCCAGUUAUGCAACAGGAGGCAUGUGGACCAUCUCCAGCUUGCAAAGGACCUCUUCACACAGCAUGCUGAGAGCUCACAGGCCACCUGCUCGCUGCUGUGUGAAAUGAACCAAAGAGAGUGAAAGGUGCAAUGAAGACAGGCAGGUCUUGCAAAAGGUCACAGGUCAGAAAGUGUGGGCCUAUGAACAGGUGUCCGAGCACCCAGUGCAGGUCUAUGAAGAAGUCUCAGAUUGCACUGUGAGGGAAUUGGUGGGUGCUAUGCAGCGGUCUGAUACAGCAGCUGAGAGAAGGAUUGAGUGCUACACUGCCUACCUAGAAUGCAUGACUGAUUCAAUAUCUAGAAUUGCCAACCAGACACCACACUUUCCCCCUCAACAACAGCCGCUCUAACAACCUCAGCUGCUGAUGCCAGGGCCCUACUUGCCUGCAACUCCAGGCCAUUCCAGCCUCUCAAGCUGUGCAUGGGCAGGAGCACCCACAGGCCCAGAUGCCCCUUGCCCCAGUGCAAGGGACCUUGCGGGUUCUGCAGGGUGGGCUUUUGCCAUCCAUGCCAGAGACACCCAUAAGACCUCCUCCUGUGGGUCCACAUGCAGAGCCAUCAGGAAUCAGCCCCAUGGGCACAUCUGGGCAGCAAGCCAGCAAAUCUGUCCAUGCAGAGCCCAUGGCCCCUGCGCAAGCCGCUCAGCAGCAGAUAACCCAGGGUCCUGGGCAAAUGAGAAAUGGGACCUCUAGUGCAGCCCCACAGCAGAGGAAGACACAUUACCCACCCUUCUCCAACCCUCUACUUUCUAUGUACUGAAUGGAUGGCAUUGGGGGUAUAUGGUGCACGGAAAGCUUGCUUUUACUGAACCAGGAGGUGUGCUGAUCCAUGGAUCUUUAGUUUCAGAAACCUGAGGUUGCAGAGGGAGGAAAGUAGAGUUAUUUGGCAACUGUGGAAAGAAUGGCAAGUGGGCUUCCCCAGGCGCACCAGCACAAUACUACCCAGAUCCAGUCAAAUGCAAAGGUUUUAAAGAAUAAGUCCCAUCGCCUUGAUGAAUGCCCCCCCCAAACCCCCCACAUGUGGAUGUGCCCCUUUGCAGACCUGCCUAUCAAAGAAUUAGCAGCUGUGCUGCUGCAAGGGCCAUUUAACUUGGUCCAACAGGAAUGUCAGGAAAUGUCAGAUUUCCCACACAUCCUGACACAAGCAUUACAGGGGGCUAUGUUUGAUCUCUUGAAAAUUUCUCUUGGGUUGGAUGCAACAGGUUUUAGGCUACACAGGUCUACUGUAUCCCCUGUUGAAGGCAGCAGGCACUUUAAAGGUCUCCAUGGGGGAGAGAGAAAAGCAGUAGCUUUUAUGCACGCCACUAUAUAAUUAAGCAACUUGGGAUCCUGCUCCAUAGAAAUGAAAAGAGUAAAAUUAUUGAUUCCUUUGCAGUGUAUGAGGCUACUCUCAAGAAAAUCAUGUUGAAGGCAGGGGAACAAAGCUGCCACACCCCAUACCCUGCUAUUCCAAUUCUUGUGUGUGUGUGGAGGGGCAUUUCUGUCUGCCCUAUAAGGACAUUCCCAAUGAAAGCUUGGUUCCUCUUCUCCAUUCUUCUGUACAGUUCCCCCCAACACCUUUUUAAUAGAAACCUUGCACAACUAAGCCAAAUACAUGUGCAAGGAGUAAAAAAAAGUUUGGAUAACCAGAAAAUAAAAUGUAUUAAUUUAUUAUUAUUAUUAUUUCUUGUUUAAACAGACAGGUGUUAUUGACUGGUUUGUUUUAUACAGACAUCGAGUCCUUCCCAAGGACCUGGGAUGGCUGAAUUUUAUUAUCAAUGUUGCUGCUGUUAUUACAGACAUCGUCGCAGAAUAUAGGCUGCUCCCAGUAAAGUUGCUUUUUGUAAUUGGCUGAUGGUGAUUUCUAUGGCUCCUAUGGUGUUGGGGUGCUCUUCAAGUUAUUUUGGAAUUGCACCUAGGGCGCCAACUACCACUGGGAUUAUUUUGGUCUUUUUCUGCCACAGCCUUUCAAUUUCAAUUUGUAGAUCUUUAUAUUUUUUUUCCUAUUUCUUUUUCUUCUAUUCUGCUAUCCCCUGGUUUUGCUAUGUCGAUUAUUUUAACUUGUUUUUCUUUCUUCUCAACUACAGUUAUAUCUGGUUUAUUGUGUGGCAGAUGUUUGUCUGUUUUUAGUUGGAAGUCCCAUAAUAUUUUUGCAUCUUCAUUUUCUAGAACUUUUUCAAUUUUAUGAUCCCACCAGUUUUUGGCUACAGGUAGCUUGUAUUUUUUUGCAGAUGUUCCAGUGUAUCAUCCCUGCUACCUUGUCAUGCCUUUGUUUGUAGUCAGUCUGUGGGAUCUUUUUACAACAGUUGAUUAGGUGGUCCACUGUUUCAUCUGCUUCUUUACAAAGGUGGCACUUGCUGUUUGUUGUGGAUUUUUUUGACUUUUGCUCUUAUUGCAUUUGUUCUUAGUGCCUGUUCUUGCGCAGCCAGUAUUAAACCCUCUGUUUCUUUCUUCAAGUUGCCAUUCUUAAGCCAUUGCCAGGUCUUGGUGAUGUCUGAUUUUCCAUGUGCAGGGGCUUAUUUCUCCAUCUUUCUGCUCGGUUCUUGACUUGUUCUUUCCUAUAGGCCUGCUUUGUUUCAUUGGUGUUGAAUAGUUUCUCGUUCUUGACCAUUUGAAGUGCAUCUUCUUCACUGUCCUUGAUAUAUUCUUCAAGGCCUCUUUUCUCCUCCUCUACUGUUUGAUGGACUUGCAGCAUUCCUCUUCCACCUGAGCUGCGAGGGAGGUAGAGCCUAUCUACAUCACUGCGGGGGUGCAGAGCAUGAUUGAUGGUCAUGAUUUUCCUGGUCUUACAAUCUAGCGUCUCUAGCUCUGCCUGGGUCCAGUCUAUUAUUCCUGUAGUGUAUCAGAUAACAGGUAUAGCCCAGGUGUUUAUGGCUUGUAUGGUGUUCCCGCCAUUGAGUUUGGACUUGAGGAUUUUUCUAACUCUCCUGAUGUAUUCACUUCCAAUUUUUCUUUUAACUUCAGUGUGUGCAAUGUUAUCAGCCUGGAGAAUGCCCAAGUAUUUGUAAUGUUCUUUCUCUUCCAGGUUCUUGAUGUUGCUUUCAUUGGGCAGUUCUAUUCCUUCUGUUUUUCUUAUUUUUCCUCUGUUCAUUAUUAAUGCAGCACACUUGUCUAGUCCAAACUCCAUUGCUAUAUCGCUACUGAAUAUACGGACAGUGUUUAGCAGUGAUUCCAUUUCUGACUGGGACUUUCCAUACAACUUCAGAUCGUCCAUGUAAAGCAGAUGGUUGAUUUUACUGGAUGUUUUAGAUGUUUGGUAUCCGAGGCCUGUUUUGUUUAGUAUUUGUGAAAGUGGGGUCAUGGCAAUUACAAACAACAGAGGGUAUAGUGAGUCCCCUUGGAAAAUGCCUCUUCUAAUGCUAACCUGUCGAAGUCUCUCACCAUUGAUUGUUAACUGUGUACUCCACAUGCUCAUUGCUUUUUAAAUAAAUAUCUGAAUGUUUUUGCUGACACCAGUUGUUUCUAAACAUUUUAGUAUCCAUGUGUGAGGCAAUGAAUCGAAGGCUUUCUUGUAGUCAAUCCAUGCAACACUUAGAUUGGUUUUUCUUCUCUUGCAGUUUUCUAAAAUCAUUUUGUCAAUCAGCAGCUGGUCUUUUGUGCCUCCGGUGUUCGGGCAAUUUCCUUUCUGUUCAAGUGGAAGCUGUUUGUUAGUUAAUAAGUGUUGCAUCACUUCAUCUGCUAUUAUUCCAGUUAAUAAUUUGAACAUGGUUGGCAGGCAGGUGAUCGGUCUAUAAUUACUUGGAACUGCACCUUUUGCUGGUUCUUUCAUUAUGAGAUGAGUUUUCCCAGUUGUUAGCCAUUGUUCAACAUCACCGCCUUGCAAAAUGUGAUUGAACUGUUUUGAUUUUUGUUUAUGAAGGCUUGUUAGGUGUUUAAGCCAAAAGCCAUGCAGUUCAUCGUCGCCUGGCGUAGUCCAAUUUUUAAUUUUCUUUGCUCUUUCACUUAUUAAUUCUGGUGUUAUUAUUAGAUCUUGCAUUUGUUGGUUACAUUUUUUGACCUCUUUCAUCCAGCCUGCUUUUUUAUUAUAAUCCAUUGGAUUGUCCCAUAAUUUCCCCCAGAAUUGCACUGUUUCUGCUUUAUUUGGUGUUUCUACGUUUCUUGCAGUUUCUCCUUCUAUACUUUGGUAGAAACGUCUCUGAUUCGACUGGAAUUGGAGAUUCUGCCUGUGUUGUGUAAUUCUGGCUUCAUAUCUGCUAAUCUUCUUUGACAAAUAACUGCUGUUAUUUGCUGCUUUAUUAUUUCCAGGUCUUCUCUAAUUCUCCUUGAAUCUAGGUGGUAUUUUUGGAUCAGAUACUGUUUGGUGUUUUCAUUCUUCAGCUUCUUGUCUUUCAUAUCUUUCAAUUUACUAGCAUCUGAUCUAAGCCUGGAGAUUUUAUUUUCUAAUCUAAUCUUCCAUUUAGGUGAUGUACUGCUUUCUUUUUUGACAGGUCCACUGAUCUUAUAUCUGAGCUCUUGUGUUGUUAUUGUUGCUGCACUGUACAUUAGUUGGUUUGUUUCUUGAAAAUUAUAGGUUGUUAUUUCUGCAAGUGCAGCAUUGACAUCUUUUAAUGCCUGAGCAUCAUCAUCAUCAGCAGCAGCAGCAUCAUCAUCAUUAUUAUUACACACAGAUGUGCUUCACAUGACACCUGAGGGGGUUCUUCAGAGAGAGCGGGUUUAGCCUGCCCUCCCUGUAGAUGAGCAGCCGCUCAUAGCUGGGCAGCCAGAUCAGCCACCCACAUGACUACCGGAUCACCCACCCACACGACUGCCAGCUCUGUCACGGAGCCAGCAGGGGCUGCGGGAAUUGGGUCGCAUGCCCCCCAGAUGUUCCAGGAUGCCCCGCACAAGUGCGUGGGGCAUCCUGGAGAGACCCCUGAGCCAGCCUCCUUGCCAGGGGUCUACUCAUGUGUCGCCGCACAUCACGGCAGCACACCAGCAAUGAAAUCAGGUUAAUGAAGUGCUUGCUCCAUUAACCUCAUUUAAGGGGAGGUUUAGGCAGGCUAGCCCCCUUGGGAGCACCAGGCUCGCCUGCGAUCCUGGUGGUCCCCACAACCACUAGAAUGCAGGCCACGCUCCCUUAACCCGCUUUCUAGUGAUCAUGGGAAUAGUUUCACAGUCCACCAGAUGUUAUUGAAUGGAUUUGGUACUUUAAUUAUCAGACCCUUUCCAAGGGUCUAGGAUAACUAAAGAAAAAUUAAAGAUAUUGUUUUAGUAUUAAUGCUCUCCGAAGUAGUGUGGCCUUCUGUAGUUGAUGUGUUGUAAUUUUAUUGAUGCCCAAGGUGUUGAGAUGGUGUUCAAGUUCUUUUGGUACUGCACCAAGGGCACCAACAACUAUUGGCACCACUAUUGUUUUCUUUUUCCAGAGCCGCUCAAUUUCAAUCUGAAGGUCCUUGUAUUUAGUUAUUUUCUCCAAUUGUUUUUCAUUGACUCGUCUAUCCCCUGGGAUUGCAAUAUCAAUGAUCAGAACCCAGUUCUUCUGAAUGACUGUCAGAUCAGGCAUAUUGUGUGCUAAAUGCCUAUCAGUUUGUAUUCACAAAUCCCAAAGGAUUUUUGCCUCUUCAUUUUCUGUGACCUUCUCAAUUGGAUAAUUCCACCAAUUUUUACUUGCUGGCAAUUUGUAAUUCUUGCAAAUGUUCCAGUAGAUCAUUGCAGCAACUUUGUUGGGUCUUUCCUUAUAAUCAGUCUCCAUGAUUUUCUUACAACAACAUACAAGGUGCUCACCCAUCUCAUCCACUUCCUUGCAUAACUGACACUUACUGUCUUUCUGGGUCUUAUCAAUUUUUGCUUUUAUAACAUUUGUUCGUAGUGAUUGUUCCUGGGCUGCAAAAAUGAGUCCUUCUGUGUCUUUCUUCAAUAUCCCCUUCUUUAACCACUGCCAUGUUGUGCUAUUGCUGACUUUCAAUUGUAUGUCAUUAAAGAACUGACCAUGCAAUGGUUUGUUGUGCCAUUUUUCUCGAUUCAUUCAUCUGCUGGUUUAUGUAUUCAUCCUUUGAUUGCUUUAUUUUCAACAGUCCUGUCUUACUCACUUCCUGUAGCAUUUCUUCUUGGCUUUCAUUGAUGUAUUCUGCCAAUGCUCAUUUUUCUUUUUCAACAGACUGUCUGACUUGCAACAUUCUAUAUCUGCCCUUAUUUCUUGGCAGGUACAGCCUAUCAACAUCACUUCUUCAGUGCAGGGCAUGAUUGAAGGUCAUUAUUUUCCUGGUUUUCCAAUCCAGCGCAGCCAAUUUUGUUUGUAUCCAAUCAACAAUAUCUGCUGUAUAUCGGAUUACAGGAAUUGCCCAUGUGUUGAUUGCUUUGAUAUUGUUACCAUCAUUGAGUUUAGAUUUCAGUGUUUUUCUUAUUCGCCUGAUAUAUUCCUUGCUAACUUUGGUCUUCACUUCAGCGUGCUUGAUCUUGUCACUUUGGGGAAUGCCCAAAUACUUAUAACUUUCCUCAGGUGACAGAAUCUUUAUGUUGUUUCUGUUUGGCAUCUCAAUUCCUUCACUAGUUGUCAUUUUUUCUCAAUGUAUUACCAAUAUAAAAUUUGUUCAGUCCAAACUCGAUUGCGAAGUCAAGGCUACAAAUUCUAACCAAAUUGAGUAAUGACUCAAUUAUGGAUAGUGACUUUCCAUACAGCUUUAUUGCACCCCCAAACCCCAAUGAAGACAGGACAUGCUUGGUUGGAGUAAAUUAGGGCCACUUUAUUCAUCUAUAGUGAAGAGGACUUGCAACGAGGUACCUAACUCACCAGAGUGCGGGUACGCCUCCCAUGUGGAGGUGCCUCUUAGUGAGGGCCAUCUCACACCAGGGCGAAGGGCCGGGUACUGAUUCUGUCAGGUGCCAUGUCCUGACCUGACGCCCCUCCUGUCCCACUCCUCGGGCCAUCUGGCACCACUGCCCCACCCCCAAAACAGGCCAAAACCAUUGCCACUGGCUGCAUCAGAUUAGACCUGCAGCUCAGCCUACAGCAGGAAUUUGGAGCGCCAGAAUGAAACAUCAUUGAAAUCUUUUAAAAACUCAACUGACAUCCUGGCAUCUUCCCUAACAUCUUGUGUCACUCUAACCCGGUGAUGGGGGGCUUUAACCCCUUUGGUGGCAUCACACAGCCUCCUGAGGAAGGCACGUCUGGGUGCUAUAACCCUACACACAAAGUUCAUGUGCCCCACGAUGGAUUGCAGCUCCCACAUAACCAUCUUGGCUUCCAGCAGGCGGCCCAGCCACAGCUCCAAUGCUAGGACCCUGUCCGCUGGCAGCCGGCAGCAUUGUGCCUCAGUAUCUAUCUCAGUUCCGAGGAACUCUAGCCUUGAGGUUGGUCUCUCUGUUUUUUCUGCUGCGAGUGAGACACCUAGCUCCUGCGCCAGACCAUGGAAAGUGGAACUGUUUCAUGGAACAGCAGUGAGAACAUAUCAAUGUCCUCGUUCCUCCAAAUUUUCUCUUUUGUGGACAGCAAGUGAUCACCAAGAGGCAAAGACACGUUCCCGCAGGCGUAGUGUUCAAUCUUAUCGCCUGUUGCUGCCAAAGCCUUGCUUUCACCCAGCUGACCCUGGUCCAUGCCCCCUGCCUUUUUGCUCCCCCACUUCAGCUCCCAGGGCAUAAGCUGCAGCUAUACUGCUGGUGCAGCCUUCUUGUCAGUUUCCCCUACUACCUCCACAGGUGGCAAUGGCAUCCCUGCCCAGUUGGGUGCAGAGUAACCUGAUCCCACUGGCCAAGCUGGCAUCCCCCCACCCAGACAUUGGUCCAAUGCCCAGCCCACAGGGGAUAGCCCCAACCUCAAUCAGACUCACAGAAGGAUUCUAUGUCAGCGUCCAGUGUGUUUGGGCCAGGAGCCUCCACUGGCCUGGCAGAUUACGCUGUCCCAGCCUCCUCCGCGGCAUCUUUUUCCAGCACCUCCAACCUUGCCUCGAUUGGCUGCAAGAGUUGCAGCUUUUUGUUAGCUUGGUUGCCCACCUUUUUGCCCUUUUUCUCCUAUCCCUAGCCAGGAGUUCUCUUUUUUUCCAGCUCUUUGCUUCCCCUUCUUAUGAUACUUCCUUACAGCUGCAAAAUCUUGACCUUCCCUGAUACAGUUAAAGUCCUGGAGGAUACAACUUAUUUUAGUCACAGUGACAUGGUUAUUUUUGUUGUGUUCCCUUUUCCCCUCCAUAAUACACAUCCAUUUUGUUUACUUCAUGUUACUGAGCACAGAACUUCAAAUGUACUAAUGUGACUCUCCAGUCACUGCCUGCAGCUCCCAUCACUCUCGUUUCCUACACUGUAUUUUUGUUUCUCUCUUCCCCAAUUGAAGUCAUUGACAAAUUUGAUCGCAGUUCAGCAUACACAAAAGAAACGCAUGGCAAAGAAACAAGCUCUUACAGACUGUAAUUUCUUUAUGGGAACUGAAACAGGCAUCAGCAUAAAAGAAAGUCCGAACUGGGAUUUUAGGGAGGUGCUGGCAGGCAUAUAAGUAACUGCUUGAAGAAUGAGGCAGAGGAAAAUGGAAACUUUCUCAAGGAAAAUGGAGCUGGCUUUUUGUCGCAAUAAAUCACAUUCAGCUCAGUAGCAGGAUAGCAGUGAGACUGAUAAGGGUAUACUUUCAGCAGAUUUGAAUGUGAUCCAACCCACUUUUCAUACCAUUGUUUAAAUAAAUGAAUAUGUUUUAGUGGGGUGUGAGUGUCACUUUUGAACACAUGAAGCUGCUCUAUACCAAGUCAGACCUUUGGUCUGUCUAGCUCAGUAUCAUCUACACUGACUGAAAGCAGUGUAUAGGGCUUUCAGUCUGGGGUCUUUCCCAGUCCUACCUUGAGAUAUCAGGGACUGAACCCCGGACAUUCUGUAUACAAAGCCACAGCCAAGUUCCAAUUUUAACUGAAGCCAGCAAGUUGUAGUCAGUGAGGGUUUGAGGUAAAAGGACACAUUGAUUUUGAGGGUACUUUGGGCUUGGUGAGUGUGAAGGAAUGAGGCCUGAACCUCCUCUUUUUGUAUAUAAGAUUUCUGUAUUGCAAUUGCUUUGCUUACUCCCCAUGUUAAAAAAGCUGUGCAGGGGUCAAAGGUUCACAGCUCCUGUUCUACAGUUUGGUUUUGGAGGGAGAAGAAUUGCACUGGUUUAAUUUUGGAGGGGAAAGAGAGGUUGAAUUGAUUGGGCAUAUUUUAAAAUAAUGGAGGGAACUUGAGUUGUUUUGAUUGGGUUAUUUGGAAAAGAAUGGGGUGGGUGGGAAGAGAAUAUAAGGAGGCUGCGUUCAGCAGAGUUUUAAUGCAAGUUGGAGAGCUGAAGAGAGUUCCAGUAAAGGAAUUGAAGGAGUGCAAGUUGCUGUCAUAGUCAGACAGAACCAGAUCUGGUGCUGGAAAGAGAGCUGCAACAUCACUGGGAGAGUCAUGACUCUCUGGAGGACUGAAUCACUCCCAAAGCAGCUGAAGGAACAGUCUGGGAUGGAACCCCCAGAACUGGGAAGGGAGAGCAGAACCUGAGGCUGAGCAAGGGACAAGCCAGGCUUGCUGCAGAUGCUGACUGGGGGUGACUGCAAGAGGAUUCUUGGUAAGGACUCUGAGUUAGGGCCCAGGAUUAGUGCAGGAUAGAUUGGAUAAGUUUUUCUCAAAUUUUAUUUAUUCCUUGUGCUCAUACAGUUUUUGUUUUGUACAAAAAUUUCCAGAAAUAUUGUUUUGAACGGAACUAUUUUAAAGAAAAGUUUUCUUGUUUUGAAGUUGAAAAUGUAUUGCUUCUGUCGGUUUCCCCACCCCAUGCUUAGAGGCCUUUCCACCCUACCUAUCUUUGAAUGAGACAGAGGUUUGGAAGGCUGUUUUAGUAGACACAGCCAGAAAAAAUACAAAAGUCUACUUGAUGGCAGUGGUGAAGCUUAAGAUUACAGGGCUGGCUGAGACGGCCAUGACACAUGGUGCCAGCAUGGUGAGAUCCGUGGCAGUGAGUUACUAUAAAAAGAAAUUAAAAAGAAAAUAUUAGAGAUGGGUUUUCCUUCUAAAAAUAAUCUCCAACUCAUAUUAUGGGUUCUCUCCUUUCCCACUACAGUAAUGUGAGCCGCCCCAGAGACCUAGGAGAAGCCUGUGCUGCAGCUUCUCCCAGUGUUGCCCCAUUUCCAGGAGAGGCAAUACUGACAUGGGAGAAAAUUACAUAGGUUCUCCACAUCUGGCCCAGGGCUUCUCAUAUUCCUUCAAGAGAUUAGAAAGGAGCCACACUGCAGCUGAUUAUAUACCACAGCAAAACAUGGCCAGGGAGUCUUGGUGGUAACUUCUUUUUAUGAUACUGUUAAGUCCUUAUGCUUCCUUCAUUGUCUCAAUAAUGCCUCUAUACUGAUGUUUUCAUAAGAUUAAAAUGAGUUAAAUUACAUGCAUGAAGGGCAGAUGAUUCAUCAUCUAAACAUUCUUUAAACAGUGGUCUGACUUAAUUGAAACUGAAAAACAUCAUACUGGCAUGUUUGGAAAAACUAGAGAUAUUUAUUGCAGAAUGGAAGGUGUAACCAGAUGUCGUUACUGACAUUACAAAUCUAUAUUGGUUUCAUAUCACUUUAGUUUUCAUAGCUUCCUCUAAGGAAUUCUGGGAACUUUGGCUUGGCGAGGGUGCAAAUAAUGCUCUAUUAGAUAUCCUUGUGCUUUCCCCACAGUACUACAAUUUCUAGUUUCCCUGGAAUGAGGGAAUGACCAAUAAACCAAUCCAAGUCUUUAGUGUGAAUAUGCGCAAUGUAUUUGCAAGUGGUUUUCAUUGCAGUCAAAUCCACCAUGAGACAUUUCCUGAAAAAAAUCACAGGCAAUGUGAUCACUUUCCACUGCCCUGUUGGACAAAAGCCUUAUGAAAUCAAAAGCUUGUUUGAACAGUGGGUGUCUGUGAUGUUUUGAUUUCUUUCUCUUCUUCUAUUCACAAAUAGCUAAUUCCUUCUCAAGGAGUUUAUCAGCUGCUGCCCUGUUGGGUUAUUGUCACAAGCUCCUAAUAGCUGCCUCUGUUGUUUUGAUCGUAGUAAAGAGUCGGUGAUUAAAAACAAAGACGUUUCCUAGCAAAAUGGGCCACACAAAGCAUGCUUCUGGCAAAAUAUGAGGAGCUGAAACAGGAGGGGAAUCAAUACAGCUCUCAGAAAGCUAAUUUUGCUUCAUCCUUGUUCUGAGGACUCCUUGGCCCUGUUUCCCACAGUGGCAGGGUUAAGGGCCACAAGAUGUCAGUGUCGUACUGAACAUUGAGAAAGGGCAAGCGGCUCGGCUCGAGCCCCCUGAGUUAUAGAGUCGGUAAUACAGCACUGACUCUGAAUUCAAAGUAACUCAGCAGCAACGAUGUGAUUAUUAUAAAGCUCUGGCUGUGGAAUAUUUGACAGCACUGGAAAACAAAAAUGCAGUUGGGCUGUAUGGACCAUGUAGCCAGGGGAGAGGACAUAGCACAGUGAUAAAGUGCAUAGAUAGCACACAAAAGGUCUCUAGUUCAAAGCCUGGCAUUGCCGGAUAAGGGAAUCCGAGUAAAAGGACUGGCCUCUGGACUCUAAUUCAAGUAACAGGACUGGACUCUGCCUUAAGGAGCUGCCACCAGACAGAACAUAUUUCUGAGCUAGGUGGACAUUUCAAUGGCAUGUCUCGGUGAUAUUCUGCGCAUCAUACCAAACUAUGUCAUAGAAUUCUAGACUGUUAUCAUUUCAGACUGGGGUGGUCAUCUGUUGGAAGGUUCUCCUAAAUUCAUUGAAUUUAGAAAUACUAGCAUUUAGGGAGCAGGCUAUGCUAAACGUUCUCACAAUGUACUAGUUCACUACAUACGGGAGAGGGUUUGUUUGUUUUUAAAUGUGGAGAAACAUUCCAAAUUAUUACUUCACCCUUACAAAUCCUCCCUUUCAGUCUGCGUUUCACAAUUCUUCCAUCUCAGUCCAUCACCUUACUCUGUAAUGGCUCUUAGUAUAAGGGAGCUCCCUAUAUUCUAGCAAACAACACAUCUGUCUGUUAAACACAUCAUACCAUAGACUGCUCUCAUGUCCCCAUGCUUGCUGUUGAUGUUCCAGCCAAAGUAGAUACAGAGAGGGAGCACAAAUGUAACAUGGAUUUUGAAACCAAAGACAAGUAAGGGAAACAAUAGAGGAAAGUUACAGCAAUUUCCUGCCAUUUCCCACCUCAAAGUCUGCCUGCUGAUAAAUAUGAGUCAACUGCUUUAUAAAAGAGUGUGUUAAAGGGCUGAUAAUUAGUUGUAUCUACAAUUGGGGACCCAUGAAAAUUUUUCAGAAGAGAGAGUUGUUUUAUAGCUGCUUCCCUCAUAAACGCAGAGUAAUCCAUACCUGCCAACACGUCCCUAUUUUCUCAUUCCCCUGAAUGGGAAAAUAGGUACAUGUUGACAGGUAGGGUAAUCUUAUGCAUAUUUAACUAAGAGUUUAUUCAGAAACAACUCCAUUUUCUGCUUCUCCUUUCCCUCCCUUUUUCUUUCUGACUCUACCCUCCACACUCUCUACAGGAUCCCCUCUGGGACAAACUUCUCAACAACAAAGCAUAAAAGAUUACUAGAUAGAAUACAACAAGGGUAUGAUGAAAUUAGGCUGGAGAGUAAACUGUGCAGAGUUGUCUGGGUACGAGGAGGUUAAAUCUUAUACAUAAGCCUGGUUCAGACAUAAUAUAGAACCAAGGGUCCAAUGGACCCACAGUUCCACUCCCCCCUGCCCAGUUUGCAUACCUGUACAAAUUAAGACAUAAGCGCUGGCCUCAGGUAACUGGCUGCCGGGCUUCCUCCUUUGAUUGAUGGACAGCCACAGCAGCCUAUCACAACUCAGAGAGGGAGGAGCUUCCUCCUUUCAACUCUGGUCCUGGGGGAGGCUGCUUCGUUUACUGAAUCCAGACAUAAUAGAGGCAGCCACAAAUCGGAGGCCCAAGCAGCUAAUCUUACUACAAACUGAGGGUUCAAAUUGGAGUUUGGGCUAAGGUGGGUUAUCUGUGGCUGCGAAACCUUCUUAUUCUUCUGCCCCAUCUUGGAUCCACAUGCAGAAUAUCCAUUUUACCAAGAAAGGGAUUGAUGAGAAAUGGCAGAGAUUAAAAGAAAAAUAAUUAUUUAAAGUACACUUUGAUCACUGAUUGUAUUGUAUUCAUUUUCUGUUACUUAUAUCCUUAUUGUCUGUAGAAAAACUGAGAAAAUAAAUGUCUG